rfam:Schistosoma rodhaini strain Burundi genome assembly, scaffold: SROB_scaffold0004083
AUCCAGCUGACGAGUCCCGAAUAGGACGAAACGCGUUGCUAACCAGUAU